GACGAACGCUGGCGGCGUGCCUAAUACAUGCAAGUCGAACGCUGAAACUUGGUGCUUGCUCCGCGCGGAUGAGUUGCGAACGGGUGAGUAACGCGUAGGUAACCUGCCUGUUAGCGGGGGAUAACUAUUGGAAACGAUAGCUAAUACCGCAUAAGAGUAGAUGUUGCAUGACAUUUUCGUAAAAGGUGCAAUUGCACCACUACCAGAUGGACCUGCGUUGUAUUAGCUAGUUGGUGGGGUAACGGCACACCAAGGCGACGAUACAUAGCCGACCUGAGAGGGUGAUCCGCCACACUGGGACUGGGACACGGCCCAGACUCCUACGGGAGGCAGCAGGAGGGGAUCUUCGGCAAUGGGCGGAAGGCUGACCGAGCAACGCCGCGUGAGUGAAGAAGGGUUUCGGAUCGUAAAGAUCUGUUGUAAGGGAAGAAAGAGUGUGGGAGUGGAAAGUUCACGCUGUGACGGUAUCUUACCAGAAAGGGACGGCUAACUACGUG
rnacentral:rRNA from 1 species